AGUGAACGCUGGCGGUAGGCCUAACACAUGCAAGUCGAACGGCAGCACAGUAAGAGCUUGCUCUUACGGGUGGCGAGUGGCGGACGGGUGAGGAAUACAUCGGAAUCUACUUUUUCGUGGGGGAUAACGUAGGGAAACUUACGCUAAUACCGCAUACGACCUACGGGUGAAAGCAGUGGAUCUUCGGACCUUGCGCGAUUGAACGAGCCGAUGUCGGAUUAGCUAGUUGGCGGGGUAAAGGCCCACCAAGGCGACGAUCCGUAGCUGGUCUGAGAGGAUGGUCGGCCACACUGGAACUGGGACACGGACCAGACUCCUACGGGAGGCAGCAGUGGGGAAUAUUGGACAAUGGGCGCAAGCCUGAUCCAGCCAUACCGAGUGGGUGAAGGAGGCCUUCGGGUUGUAAAGCCCUUUUGUUGGGAAAGAAAAGCAGCAGGUUAAUACCCCGCUGUUCUGACGGUACCCAAAGAAUAAGCACCGGCUAACUUCGUG
rnacentral:rRNA from 1 species